rnacentral:rRNA from 1 species
AGCAUGUGGUUUAAUUCGACGCAACGCGAAGAACCUUACCAGGGCUUGACAUCCCCUGACCGCGUAUGAAAGUACGUUUUCACCCUCGGGUGACAGGGAGACAGGUGGUGCAUGGUUGUCGUCAGCUCGUGUCGUGAGAUGUUGGGUUAAGUCCCGCAACGAGCGCAACCCCUACGUUUAGUUGCUAACAGGUGAAGCUGAGCACUCUAGACGAACUGCCGUUGACAAAACGGAGGAAGGUGGGAUGACGUCAAAUCAUCAUGCCCCUUAUGUUCUGGGCUACGCACGUGCUACAAUGGCCGGUACAGACGGACGCAAAGCCGCGAGGUGGAGCAAAUCCUAAAAAGCCGGUCUCAGUUCGGAUUGCAGGCUGCAAUUCGCCUGCAUGAAGUCGGAAUCGCUAGUAAUCGCAGGUCAGCAUACUGCGGUGAAUACGUUCCCGGGCCUU